rnacentral:rRNA from 1 species
AUUGCCUUAGUAACGGCGAGUGAAGCGGCAAUAGCUCAAAUUUGAAAUCUGGCAUUUUUGGAUGUCCGAGUUGUAAUUUGUAGAGGAUGUUUCGGUAUUAGCUCCAGUCUAAGUCCCUUGGAACAGGGCGUCGCAGAGGGUGAGAAUCCCGUACGCGACUGGCUGCUUUUGCCAUGUGAAACUCCUUCGACGAGUCGAGUUGUUUGGGAAUGCAGCUCUAAUUGGGAGGUAAAUUUCUUCUAAAGCUAAAUACUGGCCAGAGACCGAUAGCGCACAAGUAGAGUGAUCGAAAGAUGAAAAGCACUUUGGAAAGAGAGUUAAAAAGUACGUGAAAUUGUUGAAAGGGAAGCGCUUGCAAUCAGACCUGCUUGCAGUUGUUCAUCUGGACUUUUGUCUAGUGCACUCUUCUGUGAGUCAGGCCAGUAUCGGUUUGGGCGGUUGGAUAAAGAUUUCAGGAAUGUAGCUCUCUUCGGAGAGUGUUAUAGCUUGUUUUGUAAUGCAACCAGCCCAGAUCGAGGACCGCGCUUCGGCUAGGAUACUGGCGUAAUGGUUGUAAGCGGCCCGUCUUGAAACACGGACCAAGGAGUCUAACAUCUGUGCGAGUGUUCGGGUGUCAAACCCGUGCGCGUAAUGAAAGUGAACGGAGGCGGGAACCUUUUUUUAGGUGCACUGUCGACCGAUCCUGAUGUCUUCGGAUGGAUUUGAGUAAGAGCAUAGCUGUUGGGACCCGAAAGAUGGUGAACUAUGCUUGAAUAGGGUGAAGCCAGAGGAAACUCUGGUGGAGGCUCGCAGCGGUUCUGACGUGCAAAUCGAUCGUCAAAUUUGGGCAUAGGGGCGAAAGACUAAUCGAACUAUCUAGUA